rnacentral:tRNA from 1 species
GGGAGUAUAGCUCAGUGGUAGAGCGUUCGACUGGAGAUCGAGAGGUCCCCGGUUCGAAUCCGUGUGUUUUUU